UCGUCGAUCUGCUGCGGGGCGAUGAAAUGAAUGUGCGCGUCGAUGCCGCCCGCGGUGACGAUCUUGCCCUCGCCCGCGAUCACCUCCGUACCGGGGCCGACGAUCACGGAAACGCCCGGCUGCGUAUCGGGGUUGCCGGCCUUGCCGAUGACGGCGAUCCGUCCGUCGCGAAGGCCGAUAUCGGCCUUGUAGAUCCCGGUGUGGUCGAGGAUCAGCGCAUUGGUGAUGACCGUGUCGACCGCGCCCUCGGCCCGGCUUGCCUGGCUCUGGCCCAUGCCGUCGCGA
rnacentral:sRNA from 1 species